GGUAGUCCACGCUGUAAACGAUGGUCACUAGAUGUGGGGGGUAUCGACCCCCUCCGCGUCGAAGCUAACGCGAUAAGUGACCCGCCUGGGGAGUACGGCCGCAAGGCUAAAACUCAAAGGAAUUGACGGGGGCCCGCACAAGCAGCGGAGCGUGUGGUUUAAUUCGAUGCGACGCGAAGAACCUUACCUGGGUUAAAUCUAUCCUGACCGCCGGUGAAAGCCGGUUUCCCUUCGGGGCAGGGUGGAAGGUGCUGCACGGCUGUCGUCAGCUCGUGCCGUGAGGUGUUGGGUUAAG
rnacentral:rRNA from 1 species